rnacentral:rRNA from 1 species
UACGGAGGGUGCAAACGUUGCUCGGAAUCAUUGGGCGUAAAGCGCACGUAGGCGGCCUGUUAAGUUGGGUGUGAAAGCCCUCGGCUCAACCGAGGAAGUGCACUCAAAACUGGCAAGCUUGAGUAUGGAAGAGGGUCGCGGAAUUCCCGGUGUAGAGGUGAAAUUCGUAGAUAUCGGGAGGAACACCAGUGGCGAAGGCGGCGACCUGGGCCAAUACUGACGCUGAGGUGCGAAAGCGUGGGGAGCAAACAGG